rnacentral:tRNA from 1 species
CCCGGGUCGUCUAGUCGGCAAGACGCCGCACUCUGGAUGCGGAGAGCUGGGUUCGAAUCCUGGCCCGGGAGCGCCA